UGUACAGUGAGACAAAACGAUGACCGCACUGACGGCGAAUCCUUAAGAGUAGAUUGUUUAUAUCUGCGUCCUUUUUGUACAAGAGAGUACAGAAUACAUCCUGUCUCCAACUAAUGCAGAGUAUAUUCAAGCUGCCAGUACACUGAUAUGAAGAACCCUUUCCAGAGAAAUAUAGAAAGAUAUGACUGUGAAGCUUGUGUUGGGGAGGAUUCAGUGUCUGUUGAGGCACAUGUGAAUGUGUUAUAAAGUGAAACACAUCCAGACAACUCGACUGUCAAAGACCACACGACAGGACCAUUCUCCUGGAGACGCUGAGAAAGCAUUGAAGGAAUGUCUGUGAAGGAUGUACUCAAAAAAUACACAAGCUUCAGGACACCUGCUGGAGGGGACCCGGCUACACCUUUCCUACCGUACACCUGAUGGAUACUGACUGUAAAAUGGCAAUCACAGGAGGAGGGCUCAGUGUGGUGACAGAAGAUGGAACAGAUGUGUGUCCGUGCACCAGCCUUGAUGAAGCUUCAUAACAGCCUUCUGGAUGUAUUCUGCUUUCAACAUUGCAUAUCCACCACACCUGAGAAAGACACCGACUUUCCUUCAGAGGGACAUUGUCAACAUUAGUAGACGAGACAAGCUCUGUAUGGUUGACUGGAAGUCUGUCAGUCCAGAUGUGAGGAAGACACACAGAGUGGAGCUGGAGCUCAGCAGAUGUGUGAUGCUGUAGAUACUGUGGUCUUGGAAAGAAGGGAUCUUCACAGCUUUCUAUUCAGACAAAGAGUUUGCUGGAUUCUGUUCUAUGGACUGCUACUACAGAAUGAAUGAAUGAAUGAGUGGUUUAUCUAUCUAUCUAUCUAUCUAUCUAUCUAU